UGGUUCUCCAUUUCUUUCUUUUUUUCUUUGGGUUUCUUAAUAUUUAUUUUCCUCGGCAUUUGGACUAGGACAUGAAUGGCUGCACGUGGCUUUUUCUCCCUGGUCUGUAUUGCAGGCAUUUGUCCCAACACAUCCAUCACUCAGGAUGAUUUCUGGGGAGCGCUACUUCCAACUUCCUUUCUAGGAGAGCUACUGAAACCUGCAAAUCUGAGGCUGUUCAGGCAGAGUGAGCUGGUGAAUGAAGUGAUUUAAUGUGUUCAGGAGCUGCUGCUCUUCAGCUGGGGAUCCCAGGAAGAACCUGCCCCGUUAUUUGCCCUCGUCAGGACCCAACCUUUCCAGCCCACAUUGAUUUCGUUGGCAUGCUGGAGCCUGGUAUAUUGUGUUCCCCACCAUGUGCCAUGGGGGUACCAACCAAGGAGCCCUGGGAGGAGCAUCACCCAACAUGAUGUGAGCCUGAUUUUGCUCUUCUCUGACUCUGGAGACUGGGGACAACUGACCGCCAGUGGCUGAAUAUGCUGCAGCUCAGCCAAACUUACAUGAAGCUCUUGGGACUUGGCACAUAUUAGCGUGAAAAACAGUUAGUUUGGUAAUAACGGACCACAGGAAGCAUCCAGCUGUCUGCCAGAGAUGAAGACCGAGAAGGUGAAAAUGUCCCUGGUGCACAUAGCUGGGCAAAAGCAUUCACAGCGAAGAAUGGAUGCGGGGAAUUUAGCACUUGGGUUUGGUUUGAAAAAUUGUUUCCAUUUUGUUAAUCAAUUUGCUCCUUUUCCGCAGUUCUUCCAUUACUACUUCGUAUAAAUAUGUUUUGCUUGAUAAAUUUCUCAAACUGC